rnacentral:rRNA from 1 species
AGAUUGAACGCUGGCGGCAUGCCUAACACAUGCAAGUCGAACGGGAGUAGCAAUACUCUAGUGGCGGACGGGUGAGGAAUACGUAGGAAUUUGCCCUUAAGUGGGGGAUAACCCGGGGAAACCCGGAUUAAUACCGCAUGACCUCGAAAGAGCAAAGUGGGGGAUCGCAAGACCUCACGCUUUUGGAGAAGCCUACGUCGGAUUAGCUAGUUGGUGAGGUAAUGGCUACACCAAGGCGACGAUCCGUAACUGGUCUGAGAGGAUGAUCAGUCACACCGGAACUG